CGUUCUGAACCUGAGUUUUACAAGUACUUGAUGUACUAAUGCUACAAACAGGAGGACUGUUCCCUAAGAGCCACAGUCCAGCUGGAAUACUGCAGGAGUACAAGGUUAUCCAGUGAGAACCAACCUACAUGAGGGUGUUUUGCAGCCACGUUACCAACUGUGCUGUGCAAUAGGAGACAACACCGUGAAUUAGAAAAGAUGCUGAGAUUGAAUCUCCCUUUUCCUCUUGAAAACUCCAACUUCCAAGCUGUGAAGUUUUAGUCUGACUACAUCUACAAAGAGAGGAGAUCUUUUCAUUUUAAAGGUAAGCAAAGUUUUGUGUCUAACAGACAACUGUAAGAAAUACUUGUGUAAGCACUGGAUGACUCUACUGUAACACACUGCCAAGGGAGACUGAAGGUAAUCAUUUUUGAAGGUAAUUUUUGCCAAGUGAGGAUAUAACACUUUUUUUAAUUUGCUGCUUCACAGGGAUGGCUGGUUUUACUUUUUAUUUUUCAUGUAAAAUGAAGGUUGAUGUGAAAAUGAGGUAUGAAAAAAAACAAUAUUUGCAUAUUAGUCUCCUUCAUCUUAAAUAAAUGUAAAAGCCUAAUUUAAAAAUCUGUCUCAUUAACAAGGACUAAGAUAAUCAAGGUGAUUGAGAAAGAUCAUUAUGUUCUGCAACUUGAUUGGGAUCCCAAGACCAGGAGACAUCUCACCACCUCUAGAAGUUGUGAGUGCUCCAAAAGUAUUUGCCUAAAACAUAUAAAACUGAAAAUAACAUGUCCCAAACACCCUUUAGAACAGUUUUAGCAGCAAUAGGCACCACCUUGAAAUACUGACUUUGUACAAAGGAGUUAUUUUAGGUUGCUUCUUUGUUCUUUGUUUUUUUCCU